UACGUAGGGUGCAAGCGUUGUCCGGAAUCAUUGGGCGUAAAGCGCGCGUAGGUGGCUUCGUAAGUCCGUUGUGAAAGUCAAAGGCUCAACCUUUGAAUGCCGAUGGAUACUGCGAAGCUAGAGUACGGAAGAGGCGAGUGGAAUUCCUGGUGUAGCGGUGGAAUGCGUAGAUAUCAGGAAGAACACCGGUGGCGAAGGCGGCUCGCUGGGCCAGUUCUGACACUCAUCCGCGAAAGCGUGGGGAGCAAACAGG
rnacentral:rRNA from 1 species